rnacentral:lncRNA from 1 species
UUCCGUUCAAAUUCAUCUGUAAACCCAAUAGUAAAACCUUAUACAUUGGAUGUUUACUGUAGAAAGAAUACUAAAAAAAGUCAUUUAUAGAUUCCGAAACUAUUCUGAGUAACAUCCCCUUAAUUCCUUAAUUAAAAAAAAAUAGAAAAUAAGCAAAUAUAAUCCACUUUUGUGAGAGUAUCAGAUAUAAAAGUAACACUCACUAACAAGUGUCCAUUUUAAAUAAAAAAUCAAUUUCUUAAUUACAUUUCUACAUAAACAUUUGCUGAUUUGAUUGAGAAUCUAGCCCUAUUGCGUUCUGCUAUUUUAUAUUCCGAGAUGGCGAGAGACACCAAUACCGCUAAGUUCGUCAAAAAUAAUCUGAUCAAAGUAAAUUCGGUAAAAAAAAAUGCUUUUUUUUUUUUACCAAUACACAAAUACUUCUAGAACAAAAAAAAAUAACAGACAUGUCUAUAAAUCUAGCGAUAACCGUAAGUUUAUUGAUGCAACAUGAUGGAAGGUUGAACCGACCUGCCAAAUGUGUACUUAACCGACUAGUAUGGGUCCUUGGCAAACCCCCUCUUCGCGACAAUACUAUCGAACAGUGAACUAAGAUCUCAGGCUAUAAACAGACUCACAGAACCGGGUUUGUAUCAAUAUUUUGUAAUUCUUAAUCAAUGAAAUAGCAGAGAUGUCUCUGAAAUACGGAAGAAUAAAAAAAGACAAUUUUAUUAUUAAUUUUACUCUUGAUAAUGUCUUUUGAUCAUAAAAAAGCUUCUGCCCAAAUUACCAAAUUUUUUAUGAAGGUUUGAAAAAGUUAUUGGUGACUUUAUCUAAACGAUACUGUAAAACAAACACAGUUUGCUCUGGCUAUUGUCUUUUAGUCAUAAUGAGUUUCUGUCUAAAUGUCAUUGAAUUCCAUUUAGGAUAGAUCAAGUUAAAAAACAUGUCCAAUAUAACGCUAACAGACUGUCCCUAAAUGUUGACGCCGAUGGACAUAACUAUCAUAGGAUCAACAAUACAAAGAACUUUAACAUAUUCUACAAAAAAAAAGUUAUACCAACUAAAGGCAAAUUAACAGCAAACACUGCUUUUUUGACACGUCAUAUUCUGUGUUCAUUUUCCAUUCUAUGAUCGACCUAACAAGAAAAUGUUCAAUAUCAAACUCGAUUACCACUUUCUCAUUAGUGACUGCAUUUUCAAAUGUUCAAAUCGCUAGCUCAACGGUUCGCCAGUAAUUGCACUGAAACGACAUAAAGUGCCAUUUUCCAAUGUAUCAACAAAAAAAAAACAAAAAAAAAACACACUGGCUUUAUACACUACAAAAGUAAGAAUCAUCGAUAUUGAACUUGACCUUUUAUUUUUUCAUCGGUAGCAUAGCAUAAGUCGAGUUGUUUAUAGUUAAUAGAACGGAAAAGACAAAGUGCAUUUUUUCGGUAUAUUAAGGGCCAUAACUCCUUAACCGUAAAAAAAAAAGAAACCAUCAAUAUCUAAAGAGAGGUGCAUUUGACCUCCAUUUUGUCAUCAGGAACAUCAUAAUUUGAAAAUCAUUGGAACAAAGGUUGGUAGUCGUUUUCGAAUAUAGCAAGGGCCGUAACUCAUUAAAAACUGAAAAUCGUCAAUAUCGAAUUUGACCUCCGUUUUGUCAUUAGCAUAUCAAAUUUGAAUUACAUUGGUUGCACGGCUCAUAAGUAAUUGUUCGGAAGUUGCCAUUUUUCAAAUAUAACAAGGACCGUAACUCAUGUACGGGAAAAGUGAAAAUCGUCAAUGUCAAACAGUUCUGCAAUUUGGUCAUCGUCAUAUCAAAAUUUGAAGAGUAUUGGUUAAACGGCUCAUUAAAUUAUUGUAUGGAAACGACAUAAGUUUCUAUUUUUCAAUAUAGCAAGGACAUCAACUCGUUGGCGGUAAAAGUGAAAUUUCGUCAAUAUUGAACUUGACGUCCAGUUUUCAAUAUAUCAAAAAGAGAAAAGCAUGUGUUGGAACAGAUUAUAAUCUAUUGCAUGGCAACUGCUGGCGGCCGAACACUACCAAAUUAGUAUCCUGAUUUUACCUUUGGUUACCAGGUUUAUAUUUAGUAUAUAUACUGUGCUAGAAAAUGGCUGUAUCACAUUGAAGGCAUUUUCGUCAGGGGCGAAAUAUGUGUACUCUUAUUCAGGCUGAUUGGUAUGCAUUUACUUAUAAUUCAGUUAUAUUGUUGGUCUCUAUAUUGAUUGGUGACCGAUUAUCAUUAAUAUCUUCGUUUUUAUUUUAUUAAAUGGAAAUAAAACCCGAAACCCGCUGGAUCAAUUUAUAACAUUGAAAACAUCUAUUCGAUAACAAGAUUGUUUUACCAUACAGUAAGUAGAAAGAAUAAAAGAAUGGAAAACAGGGAACUCAUAAUUAAAGGAAGAGACAACUCGACCAAAAAGCAGAAGACAACCAAGAUGAUACUAUACUGGUUACCAAUGACCGAAAAGCUAACACUUAAGAAAACAAAACAUUCAAAUGGAUUAUAUAACCUCAAACUGUUACAGAUAAGACACAAAACCUUUAAAACCCGAUAUAAUCAAUAAAAUAUGGUCCAAACUGAUAUAAAACCAAGAGUGCACGUGCUGAAAUGUGUCUGACCUACUCUCAUAAGUGUGCAUGAUUGGUGGAGACGCAGCAGAGACCAAGUUUCAAGUCUGGUCUGGCUCUAGAAGGACCACCGGCCUCCGAAGGCAGAACUAUCGAAGCAGUCAUUUUCCUAAACCACAUCAACAUGUCAAGGUUACCAUUUGUUACCUUCGGAACUGGAAUAAAACGCAUUUCUUGGCAAGUAAUUUACUUGUAAUAGUCACCUUUCGCCUCCCGUCAAAGAUUUUGUUGCUCUCCCAAAGUCAGUACCAUUCAUACAGGGUUUGGUGGCUUAACAAACGUUUUAAUUGACGAAUUCAUAUAAUGGUGUUGCAUUCUAAAAUUAACGUAUAUAAUUGAUUUUAUCAGGUCAUAGCAAUUCAAAAUUUACAGGUUACUUUGCUAAUAGUGUUAUAGCCUUUAUACAUCUACCGGUAUAUCUCGAGGAAGGAAACCAAACGGUAAUGAUUUAAACGGAUAGGAGGAAACACUCCCGAUUAUUUGAGGGUAGAGUUCAGUCGCCAUUUAUUCAAAUAUGAGAGAUUAAUAUUUCUGGAUCUUUAUCUUCUAAGUUUAUUUUUUUCAAAGUUUCAAAGUAGAAAAUGACCAGCAAUUCCUUUUUCAAUUGGGCUUCCUGAAUUGAACUAUUAUAUCCUUAAAUUCGUUAAACGACUGAUCGACUUUCUUCAAAAUUGUGCAGGCAAUCAUCUAGUCAUUCUUUGACGUUCUGUAUACGAAGCAGGGUACAUCAUGUUUUACGAUGCAACGAUUAACCAGUUUGAAGAGCUAUCGUAAAUGCGUAUUUAUAUACAAUAGCCUUUCUUGAUUAAAAAAAAAAUCUCUCAAGUUUCAUGAAAAGACGGUUCAACCCAGUGGCAUUCUGAUAGGAUGAAGAAUAUUUUUCAAGACAGGACAAUUUAAAGUCUUUCAUAAGUAGCCUUUUCCUCAUCAUCGUGACCAUUUUUAUUUCAAUAGUACUUUUCCUUUUAACAGCAUCGACCUUUCUCGUUCUAUGAAUUAUUGUAAUUUACCCAAGUUACAACCGGCCAGUAAGCAGUUGUGAUUACAAUUGACCUAUAUUCCUACUGCGUCAAUUCUCUCUAUAUCAGGUAUUGACAAACAGAUAGAUGUGAGAAGAGCAACAGGACGAACUAGGUCUGGCAAAAUAUUCACUAAAUUCUAAAUUUUUCGUGGAUUUAUGAAAUCUUGCAUUUUCUUCACGUUUUUAGGUAAGAUCUUCUGAACCAUAUAUAAAUAACUGGGAUGGCAUUUCAAGUACUACAUCAUUAUCAUGGGUUAUUUGUUCAGUUUAAUCGGAGUCUUUGCUUCUGUUAGAAGUAAAGUACAAUUUCAAACUGUACAGAGCCAAUAGUCAAGAUUUCGGAUUCACAGGUACUGAAAGUAGAAAUGUAAUUAUCCCAUACUCAGGCCUUUCAUGUAUUUCAGAGGGACAUAUUUCGGCUGGUCAGCAAAUUAAAUUAAUUUACUGACGUUAGGAGUCUUCAACCACAACCUACUCUGUAUUAAAAAUGUAUCUAAAAUGUUUAUCUUGUUCCUGUCAAAUCUAACCGAAUAAGGUGAUAAAACGUUUUUUGUGUUAUAUAAAUUGAUUGAUUGUAGGUUGCUUAACAUCCAGUGGGAAAUAUUUCAUGCAUGUUCAGAAUGAUGUAUUGCAUAGACAAAGCUUAUUUCGCAUGAAUAUUGGUCAGAAUUGACUAUAAUUCAGUUGUUUCAACCAAACCACAUACACUUUUCAAAUACAGAGGACAAGGAAGCAGAAUGUUUACAGCUGAGUAUUACAAGGAAUAUUUAAAAAAGCUGCAGCAUGAAAAAAUAAAUUGGUUUUAACAGAUAUGAAAAUGAGUUUUUUUUAGGCCCACACAUAUAAUCAGGUCUGUCAUCAUGCCAGUUUGAUCUAAAAAACUUAGUCAUAUUUUUUUAGGCCAUUUUACUUUAACCAUUCCUUUUCAUCCAUAUUUUUGUUGAAAUGGAAAAUGAAUUCUUUUCAAUUCUGCUCUUGGUUGCUAAUAAAAUAUAUUUGUUUGUACCAUUCAGAAUUUAUCACACAUAUGCUAAUAGUUAUCAUAUUUGUUUCAAUUGUCACAAUCCCAUCAAACCCAUUAUGGUCUAAGACAAAUCUACACCAAAACUCUUUAACAGGAUAGGUCAGGGUGUCUAAAUUGAAUUAAACUGGGAACUGAGAUUAACUACUUCCAUCUCCAACAAUGUUUAAAACCAACCUUGAAAUGAUGUUCUACAUGAAAGUAACUGCUGAAAUCAAAAAAAGAAUAAAAUGGAUUCACCUCUGCUUUCGUCUAUCACCUAUACCACAGCCUCUUCCAAGACAACCCUACCAAUCUGAAGACUAUACAUAAACCUUAGUAAAAAGACAAUGUUGGUAUUCCCUCAAACUGGUCAAAACUAUAUAUAACUCUAAUUUUAGUUACGUUCCAAUGUUUCCAAUCGGUUAUUUGGGUGUAAAAAUUAGAGUUAGUAUUUAGUCUUUUAUCAUUUAUUUUCAGUAGCUUGUUAAAACAAGCUACAUAUCCUUGACUAAAAAGGUCAAAGUAAAACAUUUAGCCCCUCCCCCCCAUCAUGUUAAUACAGUGUUUCAUACAAAUAUUUGUCAUGUCUCAGAAUUAAAAGCAUAAAACUUAAAUAGAAUUUAACUUUUUUUUGUUUUGAAAAGCCUGAUUAUAAUGUUCAUAUAUCCUACGUGAGAUCAUUUUUAAGAUCAAUGAAAUUAAAUUAUUAAAAAAAAAAUAUCUGUUCUAAUCAACCUUUUCAAUUUGAGUAAAAUGUUCAGCUUCUCUGAUACUAACAAAAGUAUUUAUAUGGAACACUACUAUUUUCUUCAAAAUGUCUAAAUAUGCACACAGAUAUCCUUCAAACACACACACACUCACACCCACAAACACACACACACUCACACCCACAAACACACAACCAUUUACUUUCAUAGACAAAAAUUUCACUCUCUCUCUCUCUGUUAAAAACAAUGGUUAUUUUUGCCAUAUAAGCAUAUUUGUAUAAAUAUUUUGUAAUAAUAUACAUCAUGUAUUCAGUAAUGACAAAAGAAAAACAUCACCCCUUUUCCUUAUCUAUUAUAUUGUUUGUAUGAUUGCCAUUGUUAAGCCAUGUCUUAACUUAUUUUUAAAAGCAGGAAUUUAGAUUUAUAAUAUAAUUACACAACCCUUUUUUUAUUAUUUGGUACAAAAAAUACUCAAAUAUGUUGAAAACCAAGUGAAAUCCCAUGCCUUACUCAUUUUCUACACUCCAAACAAUGAAAUAAACACCAAUAAAUUGAUCUUUCCAGAAUUAGGUACAUUCUAACAAAUAUAUAGGUAAAAAUAAUUUCCACAAUCUUAUGAAUAAUUACACACUAUUGAAAAACUACAGAAUUUAAUUGAAAAUCUGGUAUAUUUACCACCAACUCUUAUAUCUUAAAUAUCUUUCAAGAAUCAUUUAAUACCAAAAAUAUCUCUAGAUUUUUUUGGAAGUUAUAAACAUGCUGACUGUCAUCAUGACUGUAAGGUAUCAAUUCCUAAGAAAACUAUUGAAAAAAUACUUUCAUUUAUAUUUUCUGAAUCUGUCGGUACCCCUUUAAAAGACUAUAUUUUCAUUUGAAUACUUUGAAUUGAUAAUAAAUCUAUAUUUGAAAUUUGUUUUGAAUAAGUAAAAGUUUUCAAAAUGUAGCUUAUACUUUCUCCUUAUAUUAAUCAGGAUGUUAGAAAAAAUACAAUUGUAUAAAAGCAUUCAAUUAAUUGAACAAGUCUUGUUUUCAAAUCUAAAUUUUAAACUCUAUUGGUCUCAAAAGCAAAAGCCCUUUUAACAAAAAUCUUUCGGUAAAAUAAAUUUUACAUUCUUGCUUCAAUCAAUAUGAAAUGGAAAAGUUGGAAAACUUGAUCUUAAAUAAUACAACGAAUAGCAAGAGACCAAGUUCUUGUAUACAGCCAAUUUUCAGUCCUUGCAGUACAAAUGUAUAACAAACAUACAUCAUUACAAAGCUCUCUAUGAAUGCUGCAAUUCAAGAUACACAUCUUUCACACAAAGUUUACAAACAUGAUCUCAAAUUAUGAACACUUGUUUGAUAAAAAUUCAGCAUCCAUUAAUGAUAUAAACAAGAGUAAAAAAAUCCAAAUUUACAAUUAAACACAAAAAUGAUUACACGAUUCAUCAAUAACAAUAUCUGACAGCAACAACAAAAUGUGAUGUUUGAGUGAAAAUAAAUGAAAUGCCAGGAGUGAAGCUAUUCUGUCAAGGAAUUUAAACUAUUUCUUUAAUGCAACUGAAUGAUUAGAAAAAACUAUCAAGACAGGAAACAUAUUUUAAACUAUUUUCAAUUAAUAUGAAAUGCAUUUUUCUAUGUGAUUCUUUAAAUCAUCUAUCUAAUUCUAAACAUAACUUCAGGUGAAAAACAGUAGAAAAAAGAAUGAAAUGUCAUAAUGUAAGAAAUGAAACACACUAUAAAAUAAAUAAACAUCAUUCGAUUUCUCCUUCUUCUAGCACUUUUUCUGGAUCCGAUGUUUUUGGUUGACUAUUUUUUUCUACAGGUUCAGUACUUUCCUCCUCCUCCUUCCCGUUAGGUAUACUACUAGAUUCACUUGUUUCUAUUUGUCCAUUAGUUUGUUCAUCACUUGUAGAAUCAACAAUAGGAGGAGGUUCUACAACUGGUACAUUUGACUCUUCAGCCACUGGCUCAGAGGCAUUUGCUUCAGGAGCAUUUGUUUCGGGAGCAUUUGCUUCAGGAACAUUGUCACUAUCAGGUAUCUUUGGUGCUUCUGGAGCAUCACUCCAUCGCGACUUUCUUCCAUUCUGAUCUCUGUCCCUAUCCCGAUCACGUCUGUCGUGAUCUCUAUCCCUACCUCUAUCACGAUCACGGUCCCCACGAUCCCGAUCCUUAUCUCUGUCUCUUCUAUCACCUCUAUCACUACGAUCCCUUCCUCUACGGUCAUCACCAUGGCGAUCAUCUCUUCUAUCACGACGAUCGUUAUCACUACCUCUACGAUCCCUACCUCCAUAACUAUCUCUUCCUCCUCCUCUAUCCCAUUUCUUACGACCUCCAAAUUCAGUGGGCAGUGCAUUUUCAUCUCCAUCUUGGUUUUCAUCACCUUGUUGAUUACCUCCCCAAUUGUCAUCUCUGUUACGUCCUCCAAAAUUGUCCCUUCCUCUACCUCGUCCACGGCCGCCACCUCUUCCUCUUUGUUUGGUACUCCCAAAGGCUAAAGGAAGUGCAUUUUCAUCUCUUUCUCCCUCUUCUUCUUCUUCACCUUCUCCUCCCCAAUCACCUUGAUCUUUGUCACGACUUCUUCUAUCAUGGCUAUCCCUUCCCCUUCCUUCAUAGCCACCUCUACCUCUGUCUCGUCCACUGCUACUUCCUCUGUCUCUUUGUUUGGUACUUCCAAAAGCUAAAGGCAGAGCAUUUUCAUCUCUUUCACCUUCCUUCUCUUCCUCAUCUUCUUUCCUAUCACCUUGUCCUUCAUCACGAUUUCUCCUGUCAUAGUUAUCUCUUCCCCUUCCUUCAUGUCUAUCACUACUACGGCUUCGUCGUCUACUACUACCAAAUUCAGUUGGAAGAGCAUUCUCAUCUUUUUCUCCAGGUUCAUUAGGCUGUUCCUCAUAAUCAGAGUUCCUUCCUUGAUCUUCGUCUCCCAUUCCUGGUGGGCCAUCAAAUGGUUGUCUCCAGUUAUUUCCACCUCGACCUCUAAAUCCAGGGGGUCCACCUCUGCCUCUAAAAUUGCGAUCAUAUUGAAAACGAUUGUCAAAUCUUGGUCCUCUUGGUCCAAAGUUUCUUGGGCCUCCAAAACCUCCUCCUCUUCCACCUCUGCCACCCAUUAUAUUAUCAAAAUCCAUCAGAGGUCGUGGACCUCUUGGUCCUCCCAUUGGACCACCUCUGUUUCCAUGACCUCUAUCAAAACCACCUCUACCACGACCUCUUCCGCCACCACCCCAAUCAUUCUCUUCUGGGGGAACCCAAUCGCCUUGUUCCUGUCUUUUUAUUUUAUUACUUCCAAAGCUCAUUGGCAGAUCAAAUUGCAUUAAUUGUUCUUUGUCUUCUGGGUCCAUUUCCAUUUCUGUGUUUUCAUCAUCCUUUGGCUUUUCUGAUUUCUCAUCCAUUACAGGAGAAUCUUCUCUCGAUACUGGUUGUUCCAUUUGAAUAGGAGGUCCCCUAUUUUGUGGCCAUUUGUUGCCUGGAAAGUUUUCAUUUUCAGUGUCUGGUUUCUGAUUGAAUAUUGGCCUUGGACCUGGUCCUUGACCUAAUAGUGCCCUUGGACCUGGUUGCAUUGUAUUAAUGAACUGAGGUGGCUGUGUUCCUGGAGGAUGCAUAUGCAUUGGAGGUCUCUGGCUGAGGUUUGGAGGCUGCAUUCUAAACUGCUGAAAUUGCUGGAACUGAGGAAAACCUGGUUGUGGUUGAAAUCCAGGUCUGAACACUGUGAUUGGCUGUUGAGAUACCAUAGUAGCAGGAGCUGAACUAGCCAUUACAUUGUGAAUAUUCUGUCCAAGUUGUAAACCUGCAGCAUUCGAAGCUGGUGGACCAACCUG